rnacentral:rRNA from 1 species
GGUUAAGUGAAUAAGGGCGCACGGUGGAUGCCUUGGCACUAGGAGCCGAUGAAGGACGGGACUAACACCGAUAUGCUUUGGGGAGCUGUAAGUAAGCUAUGAUCCAGAGAUUUCCGAAUGGGGGAACCCAAUAUCUUUUAUAGGAUAUUACUUUUCAGUGAAUACAUAGCUGAUUAGAGGUAGACGCAGAGAACUGAAACAUCUUAGUACCUGCAGGAAGAGAAAGAAAAUUCGAUUCCCUGAGUAGCGGCGAGCGAAACGGGAAGAGCCCAAACCAACAAGCUUGC